UAAGAAGCCACCCGUAUAUGAUAUUUUAACUCAAUUAAAGAGUCAAAAGUGGUGGCGUGGGUUAGGGCUGCAAAGUGAUGAGAGACCUUAGAAUUUGUGGGCCUUGAUCACAUUUUCAGUUCUUUUUUCCAUUACAAGGCUUGUGGCCUAUAACUCUCUUUGUUGGGCCCCACUUUACAAACAAGGUCACGCCAAUCUCUAACUUUGGGUUUUUGCUUACAACAGCUUAUACUUGAUUGAUUCCCAUUACUCAUUUUGCCGCUUCCAUACGCAGAAAUCUCUAAGAAGCAAAAAUCAGGAAUUUAUCAAACAAGGGAUAAGUUGUGGUCCUUGUCACCCCAGACGCACACAGGCUUAUCUCUGCAAUCUGUGCGCUUUGAGAGAUGUAGAUGGUGCACUGGCAUGGCCACACGCCGCUGCCAAAUAAUUGAUAGAUUUUGUCAUCUCAUUUGCUUUGCAGGGGAGAUAAGGGGCAAAAAAAGCCCCCCCCUUUUCGAAAUUUUAAUAUUGAAUGGUGUUGGUAUGCCAUCCUUGUCGUGGAUGGUGGUCGUUGUCUCCUGUAUUGGGACCUCAUUAUGCACUCAUUAAUAAUGAUGAGGACGGAGGAGGCUUUGGGUUUUGAAACGCACAUGAGGACCUGUUAAGCUCAUGGAAACCACAGCCCAUGCUUGUACAAUUCUCGGAUCCACAAGAAGGCCCAGCCGGACUUUGAUUCAGAUGAAUUUCUGAUCGGAUGGACUCCAACACCAUGUUUGGAAUGGAAUGUUUCUCUUCCAAACUCAACACUUAUUUGGGACUCGGUAUUGCUGCUUCUCCGCUGCUGGAAGGCUGCCGGUGAAUGGGGCAUACUUCAGCUUCUGUAUGUUUUCUGAGAUCCAAACAUGGUCUUAGGAAUUAGCUUGGUCACAAUUCUAGGCCCCAGACGUGCCUUGUGUCUCUACUAAGUCUCACAUUCAAAGGCCUCUAUACGUCAAGAGAUUAUUGGUGUUGGGAAGGGCACCACUUUCAGCUUAAUUUUCUUUUUAAUGGGUAGAUGUAGAUUGGAAUAAUCAGUCGCACUCUAUCAGCAAGAUGGAAAAGACAGCAGAAGAGUCCAAGUUUGGUCACUUGACGGCACACAGAGAAGGUGGGAGACAUAUUGGUCCACCAUGCUGAUUUUGAAUCCUACACACACAAUGCUAGAGCUUCAGUCAAAGCGCUUUUCAUUAAGAAGAUGGUUAUUGGCCUUGAUUAAGAAUUAGAGGAGUAUCAUUGUAGCCCAAGCCUCAUCAAAGCUUGAGAAGAAAACUCUGGAGUAUUGGUUCUCUAUAUCUAGAGCUUAUUACCAAACAGUUUCUGUUCCAAAAUAUGAACUGGAACUGAAGAAUUUUAACCUUUUUUUUAUAAUUUUUGCGGUUUAUUUUCAGAUCUUAAUUAUAAGUUGUUUAUUAUUAUUAUUAUUAUUAUUA